rnacentral:lncRNA from 1 species
ACCAACCGGCUGGCCGAUCGACUAGUCGACCGCCCAACUUUGGCGGACGACUCCGACUGACCAGCGGGCAUACCAACCGAUUAACGGUCGGGGCGCCCCGACCAACAGCCGGGAGCGCCCGACUGACGGACGCUACCGACGGCCAUUCAAUGGCCCAUCGCCGACUGAGGAUAUGUCGGGCGUAUCUUUUCCGACCGACCGAACCCAA